CCUCACCAGGUUGUUUGCUGAUGGUAAUGCAGCCAAUUCCACCUUUGUGAAGGUCAACAAUCUUUUCUCCGGUGUCCUUAGAUGUCUCUUUGGUAUUUCCCAGAGUGAUAAGGUUGAAGACGUAGACAGAUGACUGGAAAACCAUGGCUGAAAAAAGAGACAAGUUCAUUUAUGGAGAGGAUAUUUGGAAUACUUCUGUGAAUGUGAAGAGACAGAGAAAAGUAAAUAGCAGAUUUCUUGUUGAAAAAUGUCAAUGAAAAAUAUAAGGAAAAGAACCCCACCCUAAAUAAGGAUGCUGCUAUUGCAAUGGCAGAAAGGCUAAAGAAAGAAAUUUGGGAAAAAAAGGUCUGUAAUUCCCACAGAGGUGUGUUAUGAUUCUGAAGAAAGUGACUGUGCCCGACAUCAAAGGAGUAUGUCAAAACACCUGUUGGUAAGUGAUUUAGAGGAUGAAGAGGAUGACGGCUACAUCAAACCAAGUACAACCCAAAGUGCCAGCUGUUGUCUUGACAUGGAGACCAUAAAUGCUCUUAAAGGUUGCUGUAAGGAGAGACGGGAGAGAACACGGCGAAGUCUCACAGCAACUGCGCGGCGAGCUGUUCCACCUCUGGAACGCUCAGGGUGGCCAGUUCAUCCAUCACCCUCCAGUAUAGUCCCUAGAGGGUGAAGAACUUGGUGGCGAGGACAGCGGGCGUAGCCGGGACCUCCUGCUGGGGUGCAGCAGCUGCAGCAGGCAGAGGCGAAGGGAGCACCUCAGGCGGUGGACCUGCAGGCAGGGGAGGCGGCCACUCGGGCUGCGCGGCGGCCCGGCGUGUUCUCCGGACAGGAGAAGCUGCCCGGGGAGGCAGCUUAGCGGCGCAGGUUCUUGUCGGGAAGGGAGGCUGCGCGCUGUCCACAAAGGCAGACAGCAGGAGGACAGUCCCGGGCUCACUCGGAGCGACCCACUGCUCCGUCCGGAGCUCG